AUUGAACGCUGGCGGCAGGCCUAACACAUGCAAGUCGAGCGGAUGAAGGGAGCUUGCUCCUUGAUUCAGCGGCGGACGGGGGAGUAAUGCCUAGGAAUCUGCCUGGUAGUGGGGGAUAACGUCCGGAAACGGGGGCUAAUACCCCAUAAGGCCUGAGGGGGAAAGUGGGGGAGCUUCGGACCUCCCGCCAUCAGAUGAGCCUAGGUCGGAUUAGCUAGUUGGUGGGGUAAAGGCCUACCAAGGCGACGAUCCGUAACUGGUCUGAGAGGAUGAUCAGUCACACUGGAACUGAGACACGGUCCAGACUCCUACGGGAGGCAGCAGUGGGGAAUAUUGGACAAUGGGCGAAAGCCUGAUCCAGCCAUGCCGCGUGUGUGAAGAAGGUCUUCGGAUUGUAAAGCACUUUAAGUUGGGAGGAAGGGCAGUAAGUUAAUACCUUGCUGUUUUGACGUUACCAACAGAAUAAGCACCGGCUAACUUCGUG
rnacentral:rRNA from 1 species